GAACUACUCCAUCAAACAUAGAUCAUAUUGGGGUGUUCCUCAACGUUCUGCUGUUGAGCCACUUAUGGAGGAAAGCAAAGGCCUCUUCACGUUGCUUACAUGUUGGCAGAUAAGGCAGUCAUCUUGGGACUAGCACUAUAUAAGGACCAUCAGGACCAGCUGUUUGUAUGUAAUUACAUGUGUGUAAUUGAGCAUGUUUUACACUAAUUUUACCCAUUGUAUGCACAGUCAAAAUACAAAAAUGCCCAUUUGAUUAAAGAUGUAGGUUAAACAUUGAUGCCUGUUCUAAUGACAAACAGUGCAGGUCUGAAAUCCAAAAUAACAUGUUUUUUUGUUCAGUUGAGACUAAUUGGUUUUUGUAAAUGACUUGUGACCUAGGGCUGUUGGAAACAACUAUUUCAGUAAUGGAGUGACCUAUCAAUAAUCCUUAAGAUUAAUCGAGUAAUCAAAUAAAAAGUGGUCUAGUUCAGUACUAACUACGUAAGUUACUACGCAAAAGAGAAAAUGUUCAUAAAAAGCCAUUUCAGUUCUUUUUUUCAAUAAGAAGACAUUUUAUCGCUCUGCUAAUAGCGCUUAGCAUUCAUCGACAGCUCAUUGGCGGAACUGAGAGCACUGCGCAACACAAAUAAUUAUCCCGGCAGAACACAAUGCGCUAAAUAAUGAAAUAUAAUUUAAUAAACCCUGAAGGUAUGAUUUGCAAAAAGACAUUUUGAUAACAGGGUACUCUAAUUAGUCGUUACGGCCCUACUGUGAACAUCUUUGUUGCAGUAGAAAGUUGCAGAUCCUGGAGGAAGUUUAUAAUUAAAUGGUGGAACAUGAAAACUCAACAGGCAAAGUCCCUGUCAGGAUUCAAACAGAAGACCCUCUUACUGUGAAGAUGUAUUGAUAACUUCAUAACACUGCUGGCAUCUACUCAGAUCAAACAGAAUCAAAUACUGAAAAAUAACAAAUUCACUCUGGACAAUUUUUAAAUUGCAAUAAGUUUUAAAGUUUCUACAAUAGAAAGGAGGGUUCUGUAAUGCAGAGGCUUGACCUCACCUUCAUGUUUUAUAUCCAAGUGAUGGUACCGACAGUUAAAAACAGCAUAAUCGAGGAGAACUUAAAUCCCUUCUGACUCUUUUGUUUGGCUUUUCUCUACACAUCAUGAGGACGAGUUUGUUUUAAACUCUAAAAAAAAAAAAAAAAUUCUGGCUGUGCGCCAUAUUCUAACAAAUGACUAUAUUAAGGAGAUGUUAGGAAACGUGAAACUUGGCAACUCAAUAAAAGCAAAGAUCUGAGACGGACGGGUGUUUUUGAACGCUGGUGAUGUGAUUUUAACUCCAACGUUAUGCUCAGACGCUUUUUUCCACAUGAGCAGCUUGUGGACUUUGGUGAAUGUUUAUCUUAAUUAAAACAUCGCCAGAAGCACGUAGCCAACUUUAAAUAAACUCUAGUUGUCAAAACAUUCACCAGAUUCCUAGACUUAAUCCCAUUUCUAAUUUCAACAUAAACUGCUCCAAUGAUGAAACAUUAGGGUCCAAACCAUUGUUUUUUAAACACAUAGCUUUUAUGCACCAGGGGAUGGGGAGUAAUACAAAGAUGAUCUACUUUUGCACAAUCAGCACUGUCAUUUUUCUUUACUGACGUUAAAAUUUGGCUCACGUUCACAUGGAUCUCACACGGUCGCUUCAGUUCACUAUUCAACUCAAAAAGCCUUGAAAAAGUUUCACUGGCAGAUAAUUUCACUUAUAACAUGGGAAAAUGUCUUCUGUGUCUUGUUUUUAAAUUAAACAAAAUUUUAGCUUUGUCUUAUUUCAAGUGAACUAAGAUAUUUGCACUAAAAACCAGAUAAAAAUACUUGGUAAGAUUUUGGGUUUUGCAGUGCAAAUAUGUUUUCUUUUGUUAAGUUGGUCCAAAAAAAAAAAAAAGUCAGGUAUAUUUAAUAUAACAUUCAAGGUUUGUAGCUAAUGGUUGUAAAUAAUCAUUUCUGCUGGGUCUUUCAAGAGGAAUUUCAUGUGGUUUGCUCCAUUUUUGCUGGUGCUUUUUCAGAUUUGCAAAAGUGCAUUCAAGUUCAUUUACAACGACUGCGAGAAAAAUAAAAGUUCAUGAUAAAACAAAGGUGCCUGCUUGUGAGACAACGUUUUUAAGAAGAGUUAUUGUUUUUACAAGUUUUGAAUUUUUCAAUAGAAGCAACAUAUCUGUAAGUUAGUUUCUUCAAAAUUAUUGCAUGAGGGGGUUUUUUUAUCACUCCAUUUCAUCUUAUAUAAUAUUUUGCUAGGAUUGUAGCAAAGUCACCAAACAGCACCUGUAGCCUUAUGUCUAGGCGCACUGACUGAUUACAAGAACGUAGACACCAGUGAUGCUAAUUAAUAGUCACAUCUUGAUUUAACAUGUCUCUUUUGUCCCAUUAUUUUUCAGAGGUACCAUCAUUUUUGUCCAGGCCUGUUUCAUGAGUUUAUUUUUUAGAAUAAUUCUGUUGAAGCAUGUUUGAGACGCAACGUCUGACUUUCAUUUGUUCAUUUCCAUAGAAUUUUUAUUCAUUAUCUUUGUCAGAUUCAAGUUAUUUCUGUGACCAUUGUGUGUUUUUUCUUUCAUCUCUAUGUGUGUAUGAUGCAGUUAUGAUACAGAAGAUGCAGUGUUUAUACAGAAGAGCAUGGCAUAACAGAACCUGCUGGUGGAACUAAGGUGAGGGCAGUUCAGUGAUAUCUGCACAUGCAAAGUGGAAAGGUCUGUGUGCCUCUAUGGACUGGAAGAGGGUUCUGCUCUGAGGAACAAGUUUUCAAGCUUCACAUGUAUGGCACAAGGUACAAAACCAUUUAAUAUCUGAUGUCACACUUGGUCAAAAGCACAUAGAUGACGUUUUUCUAAGCAUGCAGUCAGCACUGUAAUGACCUGAAGAUGGGUCAUAAAGUAAACUACUUGAAAUAAGAGUUGGAAACUGUCACCAUGGCUUUUUUCCUUCUGUUAUGUCCAGAUCCAGGUCUCUCUAAAUUCUCCCUAGGUGUGUGUGUGUGGGCAUGUGUGUGUGUGCAUGGUUGUUUGUCCUGUCUGUCUCUGUGUUGCCCUGCUACAGCGACCUGUCCAGGGUGUGCCCUACCUCUCGCCCGAAACGUUCCCUGGAGAUAGGCUCCAGCACCCCUCCGGACCCCGCUAGGGACAAGGACGUACAGUACAGA